AUUGAACGCUGGCGGCAUGCUUUACACAUGCAAGUCGAACGGCAGCGCGGGCUUCGGCCUGGCGGCGAGUGGCGAACGGGUGAGUAAUGCAUCGGAACGUGCCCAGUAGUGGGGGAUAGCCCGGCGAAAGCCGGAUUAAUACCGCAUACGACCUGAGGGUGAAAGCGGGGGACCGAAAGGCCUCGCGCUAUUGGAGCGGCCGAUGUCGGAUUAGCUAGUUGGUGGGGUAAAGGCUUACCAAGGCGACGAUCCGUAGCUGGUCUGAGAGGACGACCAGCCACACUGGGACUGAGACACGGCCCAGACUCCUACGGGAGGCAGCAGUGGGGAAUUUUGGACAAUGGGGGCAACCCUGAUCCAGACAUGCCGCGUGCGGGAAGAAGGCCUUCGGGUUGUAAACCGCUUUUGUUCGGGAAGAAAUCCUCUGGGCUAAUACCCCGGGGGGAUGACGGUACCGGAAGAAUAAGCACCGGCUAACUACGUG
rnacentral:rRNA from 1 species